rnacentral:rRNA from 1 species
GGGCCCGCACAAGCGGAGGAACAUGUGGUUUAAUUCGAUGAUACGCGAGGAACCUUACCCGGGCUUGAAAUGCAGAAGACGACAGCAGAGACGCUGUUUCCAGCAAUGGCUUCUGUGUAGGUGCUGCAUGGUUGUCGUCAGCUCGUGCCGUGAGGUGUCGGCUUAAGUGCCAUAACGAGCGCAACCCUUAUCAUUAGUUGCUAACAGGUCAUGCUGAGGACUCUAAUGAGACUGCCACCGUAAGGUGUGAGGAAGGUGGGGAUGACGUCAAAUCAGCACGGCCCUUACGUCCGGGGCGACACACGUGUUACAAUGGGGGGUACAACGGGCAGCUACCUGGCGACAGGAUGCUAAAUCUCUAAAAAACCUCUCUCAGUUCGGAUUGGAGUCUGCAACUCGACUCCAUGAAGCUGGAUUCGCUAGUAAUCGCGCAUCAGCCACGGCG